CAAUGGAGUAAUUCAAUUGCAAACUGCCAACAAUGCACAAACUUAAUUGGGGGUUUCCACUGAUAUGGCAGAACAUAACUUCCUUUUUUUUUUUUUUUUUUUUUUUNNNNNNNCAUACACAGAGGACAGGGAUAGCACACCCCUUCAUAUGAUAGAAAAUAACUCCAUUGAAAGCUUAAACAUCAUUAUAUGAAGGAAGUUAUGACAGAACAAAACUUCCUUCUUAUGAUAGAAAAUAACAAACC
rnacentral:misc_RNA from 1 species